UACGGAGGGGGCAAGCGUUGUUCGGAUUUACUGGGUGUAAAGGGUGUGUAGGCGGCAUGGUAAGUGGGAUGUGAAAUCUCCGGGCUCAACUCGGAAACUGCAUUCCAUACUGCUAAGCUAGAGUACCGCAGAGGUAAAUGGAAUUCUCGGUGUAAGGGUGAAAUCUGCAGAUAUCGAGAAGAACACCAGUGGCGAAGGCGAUUUACUGGGCGGAUACUGACGCUGAUACACGAAAGCUAGGGGAGCGAACGGGAUUAGAUACCCCGGUAGUCCUAGCCGUAAACGAUGGACACUAGGUGUCGGGAGUUACUGCUCUCGGUGCCGCAGCUAACGCAUUAAGUGUCCCACCUGGGGAGUACGGUCGCAAGGCUGAA
rnacentral:rRNA from 1 species